AAAAUAUAAAAACGCAGAUUGGAGAGUCUCAAAAUGGCUCUCUCAGUCUCGUCCAUAGCUACUCUCACUCUCACUCGCUUCUAGUCUUCUUCCUUCAAUCGUAUUAGUAAACGCUUCAGCUCCCGAGCCCCAACUAACAACCACAACCGCCCGCAAAUGUCGUCUUCUUCGUCUUCUCCCACGGAGCCCAAGCAAUCAGAAAAAAUCUCAGCUCCUUACGGCUCCUGGAAAUCCCAAAUCACCGCCGAUGUCGUCUCCGGUGCCUCCAAGCGACUCGGCGGUACCGCCAUUGAUUCCCUCGGCCGCCUCAUCUGGCUCGAGUCUCGUCCCUCUGAAUCAGGACGAGCGGUUCUGGUGAGAGAACCGGAUAGACCGGAGGGUGAACCGGUUGAUAUUACGCCCAAGGACUAUGCGGUUCGGACUCUGGCUCAGGAGUAAGGAGGUGGCGCCUUCAGUGUUUCGGGAGAUACACUCAUUUUCUCCAAUUACAAGGAUCAACGCCUUUACAAGCAGUCCCUGAGUUC